rnacentral:lncRNA from 1 species
AAAGCAAGAACGGAAUGCCAACACUAUGCCAGGCAAAAAGGUUGAAAGGCCUCUGGUGCCAUUGCUGUUCUUUGAAAAACUCACCGUGCGACGUUCUUCGUGACUGAACAGACAUCUCGGGAUCCCUCGAGAGAGUCGAUUCAUCAUUCGACAGGUGUUUCCACGUGUGUGGAGGACCUUUUGCAUACCAGGCAUGCGAUUUUGACCCAAGCAGACUUGAUAGCUACCUUCAUAAAGCUCCCAGUCUAAUGAGGCGGAAGAGGGAGAAAACAAAGAGGGCCCCAACAGGAGAAUCUUGCAGGGGAGAGGGAAACAUUUUUUUCUUUUCCUGAAUUAGAAUCAGCAGCUUUCCAGGUCCUCCCUGUCCGUCUCCACCUGCCUUCUGACCUGGGAGGCUGACCUGAGCGGCCUGAAUCAGCUCUUGGCUGAUGGGGCUCCAGGAAGGGGCAAGGAAUGUGAGGUGAGGGUCUUUGCUUGUGGCUUCCCUACUGGGUCUCUUUUUUUUUUUUUUUUUUUUUUUUUUUUUUUUUUUUUUUUUUUUUUUUUUUUUU